rnacentral:rRNA from 1 species
GGGUCAGUAGGUUGGUCGUGCCACCGGUCCGUACUGGUCUCACUGAUUCCUCCUUCCUGAAGAACCGUAAUGCCAUUAAUUUGGUGUUGCGGGGAAACAGGACUGUUACUUUGAAAAAAUUCGAGUGUUUAAAGCAAGCUAACGCUUGAAUACAUUAGCAUGGAAUAAUGAAAUAGGACGAUCGAUCCUAUUUUGUUGGUUUCUAGGAUUGACGUA